rnacentral:lncRNA from 1 species
CUCUGUACCUUUUGGAGUGUUCUGUGAGUCCCGCUCCUUGGGACAGGUAUAGUCUGUGUGACUGGUCUGAGAUGGGCAAAUCAAGCUAUCCAUAGUACUGCUGGUCUGGAGGAGAAUUCAGAGCCGCUGCUGGGGUCACUGGAGGGAUGCCCAGAGUAAAAGACCUCCGAAUCUGCUCUCAACCAAGGGGAAGUGAAUUGGUCUCCUUGUUCCUGUGGCAGCCAUGGACCCCUAUGAUUGGGUGGUCCUCUAGAGGCACUGACACUGAGCCUGAAGGGAAGCUCCCAUCUCUGAUCCAUGAGUGCCUCCAGCCUGGCAGGACCUGGCUCUUCUGAUUAGCAGCAGUUCUUAGAAGCACUGGGAGCCUGGGACUGAGGGCACACUUCUGGGAGUCCUCUUUCCACGUGAAACAACUCUGAAAAUAAUGAAUGAGGGAAGAGAGAAGAAGAGAAGCCAGAGAUGAGCAGAGCAGCUUUGGGUGUACUUCAAACUCUUGUUAUUCAUGUUUUCUCUCACUUUGGAGAUUGUUUACCCUGAGAAUUCAGUGCUGUUACCAGCUUCUUUUAUCAGGACUUCAGCAAUACAGGCUGCUGGAAGAGCCAUUAAACCCAAGUUGUUAUUCUCCUUGCCUUUCAGCACAAAGUGCUGCCCGUAGCAAUGGCAAUAAUCCAGAAGAAUUGUACUCUUAAAGGGAAAGCAGGAAAGUCUCAGGAUAACAUGUGAGACUGGGUGGGUGGGCCCUGUGCUACUGAUGGGUGGCACUGGGGACUGUGCAUGUUCUGCAAGCAUCACUGAGAAAAGUGCUUGAGGAGUUGGGAUCCAUAAGAGAGCAGGACUGAGCACUUAUUGUCUUGAGCGUGGAUUCUGUAGUGGAGACAUCCAUAGCUCCAGAACACAAACUCAAAGCAAUGUCAGCUCGCUUUUUCAAAGAGAAGUGUGCUUCUAACCGAAUUAUACCGUGUCUUUCUUUCUGUCCAUUCCCAAGAUUAGUUCAUGUCAGGUUCUGGCAGCUCUGAUUGCUGCAUCAUCUCUGUGCUGUGAUUCAUUGCUCAGUGUGAGUCACAGAGCCUUGUAAGGAGAGGGAGCAUGCAAGCUGACUUCUGUGCAUCCAAAUGGCAGACAAAUGUUUGAAUUACAGAUCACAAUUAACUGCUAAUUGGCCAUAAUGUAAGCCCCUUCCAAAUGGACGUUGUAAAUAUUGAAAUAAACAGCUUGUUAUUUUUCAGACC